CAAUAAAAGCUAAGAGCCCCAAAACACAACCGACAUAAAACAAACCCUCCUUUUCGUGUUCGGAUGGAAUGUCUCCCAUUUCGGUGUGGGUCUGUUGUCUUUGUGUUAGAAUGUGAGUGCCCGGUGGGCGGGGACCCUGUCACUCUGGAUUAACUCUCCCACGGGCUUAGUGAAUCACUGCAAGCCGAGGUGUGCUUAUUAAACUUGAAUGACUGAUAAGACAAGUAAUUGCGCCAGAAGAAAUGCUAAUUUUAAAAUGUCUCUAAAUUCCUGAAUUUCACACGUGGGAAGUCCAGUGACCUGGGGUAGCUCUUGGGAAUUAGUAAUCCGAUACAGAAUCUUUCCCCUUUGUGUCACCUGUUACAAUUUGGCUUCCCUGUGCUGGGACUGAAAAUCAUUACCAGCUGACAGCUCUGUGAAGCCUGAUGUCUGCAACCAAAGCGAUGUGUAGAAUGUUGCUGACGCCGGGCAGGAAGAGGAAGUGCCUAUUUUGAUUAAUUGAAUAGCCGUGGAGUGGAAAAAGAUCUAUUUGCGAACACAGCAGACUGACUAGUACUUAGAACGAAAAGAGAGUGGAUGCAGACGAAACCAGGAUCUUCCGGAUCACACCAUUCACACGGCAGCAGAUUUUGGAAACCACAUUGACUCUUUUGGCUGCACUCAAGUGAUAUCAACUAAGAGGACCCUAUCAGGCUUGAAGUGCAUUGCCACAGUGAACUACUUCCGCUUCUAUUGAAAACACCAUCUCACGAUGAAACUCAAACCCAAUUGUCACUAUGGAAACCACAGUAAAGAUAGGGAUACAGUUUCAAAACGAAAACUCUGCCUGGAACUGGGAGACAGGUAGGAUUUUUCUACAACUCUUCAGUCAUAAAUUAAACUUUGGUGACGGUGAGGAAUUUUUAAGAAUCGUUUUUGAACCUGCCUAGGGGUAGAAGAAAUUAAACUUUGACACUUUUCUGAAUUGCUUAUAUUACCUAAUUCCCCUGGGGUUUUCAGAAAGGAUUAUACUAUGUUAGAUCUUGUUGAAGAUGGCGUUUUACAAGCCACCAAGAUCAGCAAGUAGCACUAACACUGCAUUGAAGUUGAAAAAUAUCUCGAUUUUGCAAUUCUGUAUGCAGGAAACCAGUCAUUUAAUCAUUAGGUUUGUUAUGAAGGGACAAGUAGUCAUUCUCCUUAAAUAUUUUAGAUUAUAUGGUGUUAUGUCGCCUGUUUUAUUAUCAGUGGCAUCUUGCCUUCUUUCUAAUAACCUUUUUUUUUUUUUUGAGAAAGCCAUGGUGAUCGUGAGACUCUGAAGCUUAAGUAAUCAUUAUAUUCUUUUGUUUACCAAAUGUCAUGCUUUUAGGUUGGUUCAGUGUAGUGUUGAGGAAGUAAAACAGCAUCUACUGUCUCUGUCUACUAAAUAAUCUAAAUAAUCUAUGAAUUACUGAACAGCCUAAGUAAAGGGAGAGCGUAAUGAAGAAAGGCAAACACAGAAACUGCUUUCGCAUAGCAUGCCAUGCCACUCAACCUCAUCAAAAUCAGUAGGUAUCACUUUCUUUUGCGUUAUCAACACAGUAUGGAACCCACCUAGAAGGAUGGCGUUAGACAAGCAAAGACACAGAGCAAAUUACCUACCAUUCAGUCUUAUUCUUUCCUCCCUCCUUGCCUUCACUUACUUAGAGUUCAAACAGAAGACGAUGUAAUUUACAUACUGUUGAUGCCCAAACGAAUUUUGGCUUCAAAUAGUUUCCCAUGUCUCAUCCUAGAGUAAAUAGUUGAUUUAUGUGUUCAUUGAAAUAAAUGGGCAAAGGAAUUAUUAAUGAUUAGUGAGUUAUUGUGGAGUAUCGCCCAAGGGAAGAGAGAACAGGAUCAGAGAGCUCUAGUCCCUCCGUUCUACAAGAGCUUCUGAUGAAAAGCUCUUGGCAUUGUUGACUCUUUAUAGCCUUUUUUUGGGGCUAUUCAUGCAUUUUAUUACUAAAAGAAAUUGGAAAUAGCACAAUUUGCAAUAAAUGGAAUUUUAGCGCAGUAGAGCCUUGAGCGCUGAAUUCUGGAGUUAAUUUUAUUGGCAUGAGUCACAUUUCUCACUAGAACCCACUUCUAAGAAGCACUGUGCCUGCAGAUCAAAUCUUACCUUGGACUUAUUUGACUUGGUGUUGUUUCAUUGCUUAUUACUAACUCUCAAUUACAAACACCACAACAGUAAAAUCUGGCUUCCAUAAAUGCCUGCUAGAGAAAUGAAACUGGAAUAGUGUUUCUAAUUUGGGGUACAUGCUUCUUUGAACAUUUAUGGAAUUUUAAAUGGUUUGGCGGAUAUUGGAAUAAAGAGAAGUCAGCACUGUGAGGAAGUGUGGAAGAAACUCUUUUGUUCGAGUUUGCAAAGCUGAGAUAUCUGAUGGAUAGGAAUAGACUCACUGACUUAUCAUCUGACUUUGGUCAGAUGCUUUCCUGACGGAAAACACAUAACAUAAGCUGAUACACACCCUAGGAAUUUCAACUAGAAAUAUGCCAUCAAGUUCUCAUAUGUUUCUAUGAGUGUGUGAUGUUAAAAACAAUUAAGUUUAUGAGUUGAUAUAAACCAUUCAAUUUCAAGUAGGCACAAUUCAUCAAGUUCUCAUAUGUUUUCAUAAAUGUACUGUGAAAAAGAUCAAAUUUAUGAAUUAAUGUGAUUCAUCCAAUUGAUAUAUUAAAAGCAAGAAGGAGUUUUUAUUAAUUCCUACAGAUGGCCU